GUAGAGCUUGGUCAUUGUCACCAGAAUUUCAUCACUCUGUGUAAGAUAUUUUUACAUUAGUUUUAAAUGUGUUCUCUAUCCGAAAGAACAAUGAAGUAGCUGGAAUUAUGAUUAGAGGAAACAGAGCAAAAUGUGCUUUAAGACAUUGUCUCUCUGCUUUGCCAAUUCCUCAUCAAUGGUCUCUUUCUCUUCCCAGGUUUAACUAGUCUU